rnacentral:rRNA from 1 species
AUUGAACGCUGGCGGCAGGCUUAACACAUGCAAGUCGAGCGAGCGGCGGACGGGUGAGCAAUGUCUGGGAAACUGCCUGAUGGAGGGGGAUAACUACUGGAAACGUUAGCUAAUACCGCAUACCAUCAGAUGUGCCCAGAUGGGAUUAGCUAGUAGGGGGGGUAAUGGCUCACCUAGGCGACGAUCCCUAGCUGGUCUGAGAGGAUGACCAGCCACACUGGAACUGAGACACGGUCCAGACUCCGACGGGAGGCAGCAGUGGGGAAUAUUGCACAAUGGGCGAAAGCCUGAUGGAGCCAUGCCGCGUGUGUGAAGAAGGCCUUCGGGUUGUAAAGCACUUUCAGCGAGGAGGCGUUACUCGCAGAAGAAGCAACGGCUAACUCCGUGCCAGCAGCCGCGGUAAUUC